UCGAGGAUGAGAAUAGACGACCAACUCAAACAAAUCACCGUCGUUAAAAGGGAAAAAUAUGACACGACAACUAAAACACUACGCCGUUAAAUAUAAUUUUUACGACAAGAAAAAAUAUAACGUCUUUAAAUACAUGAGAAGACGACGUUAUUGAAAUCUACUACGUCUCUUAUUUACAAACAACCGUCGUGAAAUAAAUUUUCCACUUCGAUUUUUCUAAAAAAGAUGACGU
rnacentral:lncRNA from 1 species